rnacentral:rRNA from 1 species
CAGCAGCCGCGGUAAUACGUAGGGUGCAAGCGUUAAUCGGAAUUACUGGGCGUAAAGCGUGCGCAGGCGGUUCGGAAAGAAAGAUGUGAAAUCCCAGAGCUUAACUUUGGAACUGCAUUUUUAACUACCGGGCUAGAGUGUGUCAGAGGGAGGUGGAAUUCCGCGUGUAGCAGUGAAAUGCGUACAUAUGCGGAGGAACACCGAUGGCGAAGGCAGCCUCCUGGGAUAACACUGACGCUCAUGCACGAAAGCGUGGGGAGCAAACAGGAUUAGAUGCCCUGGUAGUCCACGCCCUAAACGAUGUCAACUAGCUGUUGGGGCCUUCGGGCCUUGGUAGCGCAGCUAACGCGUGAAGUUGACCGCCUGGGGAGUACGGUCGCAAGAUUAAAACUUAAAGGAAUUGGCGGG